rnacentral:rRNA from 1 species
GUGCAGCAGUCGAGAAACCUCCGCAAUACACGAAAGUGUGACGGGGCCAUCCCGAGUGCCGUCCGCUGAGGACGGCUUUUCCCCAGUGUACACAGCUGGGGGAAUAAGGAGAGGGCAAGCCUGGUGUCAGCCGCCGCGGUAAUACCAGCUCUCCGAGUGGUGGGGACGCUUAUUGGGCCUAAAGCAUCCGUAGCCGGCUGGGCAAGUCCUCCGUUAAAUCCAACGAUUCAAUCGUUGAGCUGCGGGGGAUACUGUCCAGCUUGGGGGCGGGAGAGGCCGACGGUAUUCCCGGGGUAGGGGUGAAAAUCCUAUAAUCCCGGGAGGACCACCAGUGGCGAAGGCUGUCGGCUAGAACGCGCCCGACGGUGAGGGAUGAAAGCGUGGGGGAGCGAACCGGAUUAGACUACCCCCGUAGU